GACGAACGCUGGCGGCGUGCCUAAUACAUGCAAGUCGAGCGGACGAAUCGAAAGCUUGCUUUUGAUUCGUCAGCGGCGGACGGGUGAGUAACACGUGGGCAACCUGCCCUGUAGACGGGGAUAACACCGAGAAAUCGGUGCUAAUACCGGAUAACACUAAAUGUCGCAUGACGUUUCGUUGAAAGACGGCGCAAGCUGUCGCUACAGGAUGGGCCCGCGGCGCAUUAGCUAGUUGGUGAGGUAACGGCUCACCAAGGCGACGAUGCGUAGCCGACCUGAGAGGGUGAUCGGCCACACUGGGACUGAGACACGGCCCAGACUCCUACGGGAGGCAGCAGUAGGGAAUCUUCCGCAAUGGACGAAAGUCUGACGGAGCAACGCCGCGUGAGCGAAGAAGGCCUUCGGGUCGUAAAGCUCUGUUGUUAGGGAAGAACAAGUAACGCAGUAACUGGCGUUACCGUGACGGUACCUAACGAGAAAGCCACGGCUAACUACGUG
rnacentral:rRNA from 1 species